UAUUGGUCAAUGGCCUAACGGCUGAACCAGCAACUUGGAGGAAUGUAUAGGGAAAGCUGGUAAAAUGUGAUGUACCUAGUAGUAUUAAAAAUUAAUAUGAGAUUAACUAAGUUAAUUAAAAUUCUAUGUAGAUAUUGAUUAUGACAGUAUUUGCUUAUGUCUUGACCAAAUCACGUGCCAGCAGUCGCGGUAAUACGUGGAAGAUUAGUGUUAUUCAUCUUUAACAGGUUUAAAGGGUACCUAGACGGUUAAAUAAACACUAAAAUGUAUUAAUUAACUAGAGUUUGAUAUAAGAAGGAUUGAGUACGGUGAGUGAAGAGAUAAAAUUUUAUAAGACCACUAAGGAACUGGUAAAGGCGAAGGCAACUUUCUAUGUAAAAACUGACGUUGAAGGACGAAGG
rnacentral:rRNA from 1 species